UGUAGGGAAGGGUCAGAGAAAGGAAUACUGAUUGUCUGUUAUUGCAAGGACGCUUUUAUGAAGAGGGGCAAGGACAUUUCUUUAGAUAAAGCAAACAAAAAAAUAAAUAAAUAAAAAUCUUUGAAACUAAUGGCGCUUUUCCUCUGGGUGUUACGACUCGGCACGCGUUUCCACUGCAGUUUAGUACCGCUUGAUUAUUCACAUGUCGUUAUAAUUGUGCCGCGUCUACUGCGGCGACUCCUGAAAAACUUUUGCAGCGUCACAAUGUGCCUACUUAUACUAUACGCUUAAAGUAUGUACUUUUUUGGUGAAGAAAAAGUACACACUUUUGAGUGUGUAGUAGAAGAGUAAGCAAGCUUUAGGACAUACUAUCACAUCAUACAAUUGCGUCUUUAACGGACUGCUCUGUCGCAUAAUUACACGCACCCUGUCACUGUAAACUGGCCUUGCAAUCAUCUUGUCACAGUUAACAUCCUCCACAUUUCAUUUCAUUUCGCCUAACUUUCUUCCAUAUAGGAGAGAAAAGAAGUAGCAAGUUGAUCUGCGAGCCACGGGUCUUCAUGCAGAUAACUCUGCUCAUAUUUUCUGCAUAAUGAUGCAUUUAAAAGUUAACGACCAAACGGAUGUUUAUAAAAGAUUACAUUGUUGUUGCAGAUUAAAUAUAACACAUAUAACAUUAAAUAAUUUUUUUUACCAGGUUAAAUGUUGAUUAUUAUUAUUAGUAACUCAAACCCCUUUAUCCUUUCUACUUAGCCGUCAGUCACGCGGAUCCACCAUGUUUGUAGUUUUUUAACGCUUUUUAUUCGUGUUUGUAGUUCUCAAACGAAUCAUUCGUCAAAGCGCAAUUGAUUGUUGAUAAUUGCAGAUAAGUGCGUUCGUUCCUUCGCUGGCUAUGUUGAUUUAAAUCUAGCAGUUUACACAUCACCUUUUGGUAAUGGUACAGUUCACUUGGAACGUCAGCCGAGAUGGUACUGAAAAAAGUACCAUGUACUGUACCCAGUGGAAAACCCCCCAAAAGUGCACCAUACCGAACCUACCAUGCAGUGGAAAAUCACCAGUUGCAAGACCUUGCUAUAGAGUGUCUUAAAUAAAUUCACUUUUUAGAAGUUUUCUUUUAAUUAAUCAAAUUCAUAGCAUGUAUAGGAAGCUUAAUAGUAAGCUUUGAUUUUUCACAAGGUUAUUGAAAGUUUUGUUGUAGUUCAUUUUCUGUGACAGUGAUGUGUGUAUCUAUUUAACCUUAAUCUUAUGUAAUACUUCAGGUACAAUUUGAU
ensembl:lncRNA